AGCAGGCUGCUCCUGAUGAACUCACUGCACACCAGGACCUGACUUCUCAUGAGGGCAAUGGAAUCGCAGGAUGCCUGGUUUGGAAACACAAGAAUCAGUGUAUAAACAUUCUUUCUGUAUUGGUUUCUGAGAAGCAAGGACUGCGCUGUGUGCUGUGUAACAGGUGGGAGGUGCUGCAUUGCUGCACGGGAACAAGGGCGGUGGGAGACAAACCAACAACCUCAUCUCCAGCACUAUCCAGCCAAGUCCCAUGGAGAAACUAAUCUCUCUACAAGAAGCAGACCCGGAGUUUCCUGAAAGGCUGUGCCUGUGAUUACUGCUUGCCUCACCCUGGGAAAGGUUUCCAUUUAUUGCUUCAUUAACAUGAUCCUCUUCUAAUGAAAUAAUUUAUAUCAAGAGUGCCCAGCAAAGACUUUUCAGGUCAAGCUGUACGUGGGAGUGUCAGGCCAUGUGCAGAAGUGAGCCACAUGCACGUUCCACUAUACACUGCAGAGCAGCUGGGAAAUCUAGGAACAAUUUUAAUGAAAUUACAAUAGUGUUUAAACUCCUAAAAUCACUCCUGGCAGCACAUCCUUGCUUCCCAAGUAGAAAUGAGCCACGGACUGCUAAGUAGAUGGCUCUAAUUCCUUCUGAGUCAUCCAUGGAAAGAUGACAUAAACUGCAUAUAUCUUAUUUUUGAAUAGCUAAGUAACCAGGCAUGGAUACUGCUUAACUUCGUAGAAUCACAGAGUCAUAGAAUGGUUUAGGCUAGAAAGGACCUUAAAGAUCAUCUAGUUCUGAUCUCCUGCUAUGGUUUGUGAAAUUUAUACCUUCAGUGGGUAUGUCUUAAGAGGACAAUCUCAAAAGCUUCUAAUUUAAUGAUAGCAAGGGUUAAUUACAGGAUAGAAAAGCCCUGCUGAAACUUAACCUAACUAUUUCGCUUUUUUGUUUCAAUAAUGUUAAUUUAAUUAGCUGGAGUUAGAGAGGAAGCUGCAUGAGCAGUGCCCUGUGGUGAAGGUAAAGGGUUUUGAACUGCAAGAACAAUGUUUUUAGCUCUUCCAAAUUAUGAUCUCCAUAACAUGACCAGCUGGAGUGCACAAAAUAGCUCCUCUGAUGGGUCUUCCCAAUCAGAAAAUGUACCAAGUUAAGCAAAUUGGAAGCAAUAUUCUUCCUUCAUGGAGUUUGGCAGGGUUUUAAGGUCCCACAGUCCUUACAGAUGAGGUAUACCAGAGACCAAGGCAGCCAACAGUGGAGAAAAAUUCCUCCUUUCCCCUCCCACUCCCAAAAGCUCAAGCAUUUCUGCCAUCACUAAGGUAGGUAAUCACUUUUACAGAGAGAGGUCCAUGGUUCAUGGGACUUCACCUCAGCUGCAUCCCCCUUUCUUGGGAAACUGGGUCCAUCAUUAGCAGAGAGGACCUCCUCACUGGCUGUUUAGAUUUUCACCUGAUCCUUGUAAUCUGUGCAAAUUUCAGAGCUAUGUAGACUAGCAGUGGCCUUUCUAUGGGGAAGAACACUGUUUCAUUUGUAAGGAAUAAAUAGCAAAAAAAGUAUGACAUGAACCUUGCUGAGAUUUCCUCUUCAUUAACCCCUAUCUACCGUAUUUUUCCACGAUUCUCCACAUGGUUUUUGUUUCAGAUCUUCAAAUCUAUUUUAUGUUCCUUCCUUGGCCUCCUUUGCUAGACUCUGUUUUGGAAAACAGAAAAGAUUUCCUGCGUUUGUAUCUUUGUUGGUAGCUUGAAGAGGAGAAAGUCCUUUUUUAAAAGCCCGAUGCUUUUAAAAGAAGAAGAGGAGGGUAUUUUUCUGCUUUUCCGCUACAACACGGCUCUUCUUUCUGCUUGUGGCCCAAAAAGUCUUACACUUUUGUCCAAGCUGUUUUCUGCACUGCUAUAUUUCUGCAUUUUAAACCUUCAAUCUAUGAGACUUCAGGUGACAGAGGGCUUGGUACAGAUGUUGGUGGUGGUGUCACACACCUCAGGGAUGAGGAAGACCCACUGCUGAUGGAAAGUAAGCCUUCAUCCGGCCCCUGAAAACCUCCCAGCUGCAGAGCUGAGCAGCGCCGGCCCAGCCUGGCAGGAAAUUUGCCUGACAGAGGAAAAGUGUGUUAUAAAACCCGUUUUACUUCUUUCGGCUGUCUCAGCCUUCGCAUGGUGGAGCAGGGAAUAUAGUGAGAAACCAGAAAUCGCCUAGGGCUCCUCCAUAUGAGCUAUUCUUGGCUGUUAGAGAUGUCCCUGAGGCUGUCCUUGGUCAGGCUGAGGCAUAAAGUAGUUCUUGAGUCAUCAGGGCUUUAAGCAACAGCAAAGUUUGUGUAAACCUCACCAUUUCCCCUCUUGUUCCACACCAAAAGUAACUGGAGUGGACCAGAAAUAACAGCGCCCCGCUGGUAUUCAGUGUCUCGACAUUAGAUCUCCAAACGGGUAAUCUCUAAGUCAGAGGUCCUAAAUUUAUUGCUUUAGCGCUUAUGCAUGACAAUACAUUUGGGGUAAUUUGGUGGCUCCAUUUCUGUGGUGAAGAAAGCCUGAAGGAGUCUAUGGUAAUCUGAAAACUGCCCGCGGAUGUGCUGCAGGGAGGAGAGGGGAAGCUGAGAUUUUGUUUGGAAGAAGAAAAAAAAAAAAAUUAUGAAAGCAAGCAUGAGCCAAGACAUAAAGUCUCAUUUUGCUCCCAUGUGCUAGUGCUUGAGCAGACUAUUGUUCUGGACUCAGAGAUUGGUUCUUAAUUAUGUUGAGCAGCGAAUGGUUUGAAUUAACGGUCACAUAACUUGGUGAGCGCGAGCCUGUUAAGAAUUUUGGCUGGAGAGCAGCUGUGGGGCUGCUCUGAGAUCAUAGAAGGUGGCUGUUCCUGGAGGUGUUUUCAAGACUUAAGAAGCGUGCACGCUGCCACCUGAGGUCCCACGCUUGAAUUCGUUAUCUAAAUCUGCCCUUGUCUUUAUUCUGCUAUUUCAAUCUAAAAUAAAACAUCUUGUAUUUAUUGUAUCAUCACAUUUAGACACUACCAUUUUGGAAUCUCCUGUGGACAUCAUCAGAUCCAGAUGUUUCCAUAUGUCAUCAUCCAUACACUGAAAUGAUUACAAAUGGAGAUAUAUUUCUCUUUCAGGCAUAAUUAACAGCGUCAGUUGAGCAUUCAAGAGUGAGACCCUUGCGCCGGCGUGCUGGAUGAAAGAAAUUUGUCUUACUCUAACUCUGAAUGGACAGCAGCAUCCUGGCACAAACUCCUCUGUGAUGAUCUGUACCCUCUGAAAGAGUCAAGAGCCCGUGGGAGACAGAGGCAGAAACCUGAUUGUGCUGGAUGUACAAAGCUGUUUAUUGCUUGGAUGUGCAAGUCAGCAAGUGCAAGUUGCAUCUCUUCCCUCACAGCUUCCAGCCUCCUAAACCAGAAUCCUACUUAGAGUAAAAAGACAGUUUGCUUUACACAGAAUGCUUUCACUACAAAGCCGGAUUGAACAAAAGACAGAAAAACCUCAUGCGCUGCCUUGUGCCUUUGCUAUUUACUGAGACAGGAGGCCACUUCAUAAACACAUCAGAGGAGGAGACACAGGAACAGGACAUGGGACUGAGACUCUGCGAAGACUGCACAAGUGUCAAACAACCCACACUGCAGAAAACCCCAACCACGAAACACUCAAAGAAGUAGACACCCUCCUUCAUUAAGUAAUAUCUGUCUUUUCUCAGAUUUGUCACAAGGAGGUUAGUUGAUCUCCAAACCGUAUUGUAAUGGUCAGCUGGCUUUUAC